rnacentral:lncRNA from 1 species
UAUAGAAAUGUCUAAGUAUAAUUAUAGAAGAAUGUGCAUCAAAAUGCACUGAUCAAAUUCCCCCACACUUGAACUUUUGCACUCCGAGCAAAAUUACAAUUUCAAAACAAAAGGAAAGAAAACAGAGCAUGCACUUCCAACUGAUCAAAUUCCCCCACACUUGAACUUUUGCACUCCGAGCAAAAUUACAAUUUCAAAACAAAAGGAAAGAAAACAGAGCAUGCACUUCCAAAAGUUUUCAAGAUACAAGGUAUAAGCAUAAUUCUAAGUAUAAG